AAGUGCGCGCCGCUUUGAGGUUCCCGUCUGCUUGCAGACGGGUUAAACGGGAAACAGGUGAGGGAGUUCAACCCAAUGCCUGUGCUGCCCCCGCAACGGUAAGCGAGUGCGGAUUUGCCAAAAUGCCACUGUGAGUAAUCCCCCCCAAAAAUACAUGGGAAGGGGGAUCUUAUGGGAAGGCGGCAGAUCAAGACUUGCGAGCCCGGAGACCGGCCUGGAAGCGAUUGGGAAU
rfam:Gallionellales bacterium RIFCSPHIGHO2_02_FTLL_57_16 rifcsphigho2_02_scaffold_10291, whole genome shotgun sequence.